UACGGAGGAUGCAAGCGUUAUCCGGAAUGAUUGGGCGUAAAGCGUCCGCAGGUGGCUGUGUAAGUCUGCUGUCAAAGAGCGAAGCUCAACUUCGUAAAGGCAGUGGAAACUAUGAGACUAGAGUAUGUUAGGGGUAGAGGGAAUUCCCAGUGUAGCGGUGAAAUGCGUAGAGAUUGGGAAGAACACCGGUGGCGAAAGCGCUCUGCUAGGCCGUAACUGACACUGAGGGACGAAAGCUAGGGGAGCGAAUGGG
rnacentral:rRNA from 1 species